rnacentral:rRNA from 1 species
GACGUAGGGGGGCAAGCGUUAUUCGGAAUUAUUGGGCGUAAAGCGCUCGUAGGCGGGACUGGAAGUCCGUGUUGAAAGACCUCGGCUCAACUGAGGGACCGGCUCGGAUACUCUAGUUCUUGAGGCAAUCAGAGGGUGAUGGAAUUCCCGGUGUAGCGGUGAAAAUGCGUAGAUAUCGGGAGGAACACCAGUGGCGAAGGCGAAUCACCUGGGGGUUGUUCGUGACGCUGAGGAGCGAAAGCUAGGGGAGCAAAC